rnacentral:rRNA from 1 species
GGGUAACCUGCCUGUAAGACUGGGAUAACUCCGGGAAACCGGGGCUAAUACCGGAUGGUUGUUUGAACCGCAUGGUUCAAACAUAAAAGGUGGCUUCGGCUACCACUUACAGAUGGACCCGCGGCGCAUUAGCUAGUUGGUGAGGUAACGGCUCACCAAGGCAACGAUGCGUAGCCGACCUGAGAGGGUGAUCGGCCACACUGGGACUGAGACACGGCCCAGACUCCUACGGGAGGCAGCAGUAGGGAAUCUUCGGCAAUGGACGAAAGUCUGACGGAGCAACGCCGCGUGAGUGAAGAAGGUCUUCGGAUCGUAAAGCUCUGUUGUUAGGGAAGAACAAGUGCCGUUCAAAUAGGACGGCACCUUGACGGUACCUAACCAGAAAGCCACGGCUAACUACGUGC